AACUCAUAAUUCAAGUUGAUAAUUACUGUUUACAUGUAAAACUGACAUGUAAUUGUGUGGCAUUUUUGUUUAAACGCCGGUGUUUACAUAUGAUGAUAAAGCUGCAAAUAGACAAACACUAUGGCACUUAGCAGGUUUUUCAGACACCCUGUUACGAUUUCUUCUGAACAAUUCGACGACGGGCAAUUCCAGAACUAUUGCAAGUGCAUGUUGGCUUUAAACAUGACAAAAAAGGCAUUGUACGCGGUUGUUGAAAGAAAAUGGAAACUUUUCAUUUCUAAACUGCCAGAAAAUGAAAGAGACCAUUUGGAAACAUUCGUGCAUUGUCUUGGUCCUGAAAAGAAGACACGAGUACUGGUGACAGGAAUGCACAUUCCGUGCUGCCAUACACUUUGUGAAAACAUGCGCCUGCGGCUUUUAGCUCUUCUGGACGAUCCGUCGAGGCACUAUGACAUUUCUCUUGACGAAGCGCUUUCGUCUGACAACUGUCUGCGCUACUUCUGGGAUAUUGCAAAGCUAUUCAUUUUCGAAGAAAAUAUUUUGAUGCCGAAACGAAAAUUGUUUGAUCUUGAUACAUUGCAGUUGAUUGCGAUGAUGCAAAAUUGCAAAUUGUUUGCAUUCGACAGUUAUGAUCAAGUUUUGUCUCAGACAUGCGAUGACAGAAAGUACCUUAUUCAUGCAAGAAAAAACAAGAUGACAGAGCAGGAAAUGACCUACCUUUUCACUAGGAUGAAACUACUGCUAGCCAAGUUUCAUGGUGUUAAAUUUAGCAUAUGCACUGAUACUGUUGAUGAUUUACGACAGCUUCAACAAAAAGAUCUUACAAAUGAGUUCCAGCCAAUAGAGUUCAAACUUCUUGUUAAGAAAAUAUUCGAAAUAAAGAAGGAAGCACUAGAAGCAGACAUGGUCGUUUCUGACGAUGACAUUGAUAAGAGUAAUUUGGAGGACCUGCUAAAAGAGACAAAUCACGUACUGGAACAGAUAGAAGAACUUUUGGAUGAGCAUGAGGUUGACGACGAGGAUGAACUAAUAUUAGAAAACAAAAACCUGAAGGAACUAGUAGAACGUCUUAAAGGCGAAAUUGAUCAGUUGAAAUCUGAGGAGCUGUUGGAUAAUAAAGAGGAAGACGACGUAGAUGAACUAAGGUUGGAAAACCAAAACCUACAUGAACUUGUGAAAAGUCUUAAAGACGAAAUUAAACAGUUGAAAUCUGAGAACUUACCAGUAAUGGAGGAAAGUAGUAUGCUUGAACCAGAGGAAGUGACAGAUGUCGGACAAGAAAUGAAUGAUAUGAAGAGGCAGUUGGAAUGGUUUAAAUCAGAACUUAUGAAUUCAAGGGCAACCGUCAAACGCUUGGAAAAGGAAAGAAAUCGUUACAGAAAGGCUCUUGAAGACGCAGACGAAUUAACAUCUUCCAUGGAAACAACUGCUGGCGGUUUUACAAUUUUGAGCGAGAAAAGUAUUUUGUACGGACAGAAGGUGACGGUAUUGCAAAGAAAUAUUGUUCGAGUAACAGCAGACGCUAUAGCGCACCCGACCGGUAAAAAUUUCGAAACAAGAGGAGCAGUUGGAUCGGAAUUGAAAGAAGCUGGUGGCGAGGUGUUUCUCCAUGAGCGGCUAUAUGUAAAGGAAAUAACUUCCCAGCCGAGUAUGUCAUUCACGUACACAGUCCGGGAUGGCGGCAUGAAAAUGCACAACAAAUGCUCACAACAGCUACUGCAAAUGUCCUUAAAUUAGCUGAUGAACACAAUAUGAAAUCAAUCGGCAUACCAUCAAUAAGUAGUGGACAUGCCGAGUUCCCAAAGCUUAUUGCAGCCAAGACAAUCUUAAGUGCCAUCACGGACUAUUUCUCGUCAAACAGGUUUAGUUCUAUCAGACAAGUCUUCUUCGUUUUGUUUGAUGCCGAAAGUGUCACGGCUUACAUUACA
rnacentral:misc_RNA from 1 species